AUUAGAUACCCUGGGUAGUCCACGCAGUAAACGAUGAAUGCUAAUUGUCCCGUUAAGGAUGACCUCUGGGUGAUACAGCGAAAGCGUUAAGCAUUCCACCUGGGGAGUACGCCGGCAACGGUGAAACUCAAAGGAAUUGACGGGGGCCCGCACAAGCGGAGGAACAUGUGGUUUAAUUCGAUGAUACGCGAGGAACCUUACCCGGGCUCAAACGCACGUUGACCGUCUGUGAAAGCAGAUUUUCCUUUCGGGGACAGUGUGCGAGGUGCUGCAUGGUUGUCGUCAGCUCGUGCCGUGAGGUGUCGGUUUAAGUGCCAUAACGAGCGCAACCCCUAUCGACAGUUGCUAACAGGUCAAGCUGAGGACUCUGUCGAGACUGCCGGCGCAAGCUGCGAGGAAGGCGGGGAUGACGUCAAAUCAGCACGGCCCUUACGUCCGGGGCGACACACGUGUUACAAUGGCAGGUACAGCGGGAAGCCACCUGGCGACAGGGAGCGGAACCCGAAAGCCUGUCUCAGUUCGGAUUGGAGUCUGCAACCCGACUCCAUGAAGCUGGAUUCGCUAGUAAUCGCGCAUCAGCCACGGCGCGGUGAAUACGUUCCCGGGCCUUGUACACACCGCCCGUCAAGCCAUGGAAGCCGGGAGUGCCUGAAGUACGUUACCGCAAGGAACGUCCUAGGGUAAAACCGGUGACUGGGGCUAAGUCGUAACAAGGUAAC
rnacentral:rRNA from 1 species